CGUGCAGGAAGAAGGCCCUAUGGGUUGUAAACUGCUUUUAUCAGGGAAGAAACCUCUGGAUUUACUCCGGAGCUGACGAUACCUGAAGAAUAAGCACCGGCUAACUCCGUGCCAGCAGCCGCGGUAUUACGGAGGGUGCGAGCGUUAUCCGGAAUUACUGGGUUUAAAGGGUGCGUAGGCGGCUUUGUAAGUCAGGAGUGAAAGUUUGCGGCUCAACCGUAAAAUUGCUUUUGAUACUGCAGAGCUAGAAUCAGGAUGAGGUCAGCGGAAUGUGGCAUGUAGCGGUGAAAUGCAUAGAUAUGCCAUAGAACACCAAUUGCGAAGGCAGCUGGCUAGACCUGUAUUGACGCUGAGGCACGAAAGCGUGGGGAGCGAACAGGAUUAGAUACCCUGGUAGUCCACGCCCUAAACGAUGCUUACUCGACGUAUGGCCCUUGUGGUUGUGCGUCCAAGGGAAACCGUUAAGUAAGCCACCUGGGGAGUACGACCGCAAGGUUG
rnacentral:rRNA from 1 species